GGGUGAGUAGCACAUGGGAAUCUGCCCUGUAGUGGGGGAUAACUCAGGGAAACUUGAGGUAAUACCGCAUACGUCCUACGGGAGAAAGCGGGGGAUCUUCGGACCUCGCGCUAUAGGAGGAGCCCAUGUCCGAUUAGCUAGUUGGUAGGGUAAAGGCCUACCAAGGCGACGAUCGGUAACUGGUCUGAGAGGAUGGUCAGUCACACUGGAACUGAGACACGGUCCAGACUCCUACGGGAGGCAGCAGUGGGGAAUAUUGGACAAUGGGGGCAACCCUGAUCCAGCCAUGCCGCGUGUGUGAAGAAGGCCUUCGGGUUGUAAAGCACUUUAAGUGGGGAGGAAGGCUCGCGGAUUAAUAAUCUGCGGGAGUGACGUUACCCACAGAAUAAGCACCGGCAAACUCCGUGCCAGCAGCCGCGGUAAUACGGAGGGUGCGAGCGUUAAUCGGAAUUACUGGGCGUAAAGCGCACGUAGGUGGUUCGUUAAGUCGGAUGUGAAAUCCCUGGGCUCAACCUGGGAGCUGCAUUCGAUACUGGCGGACUCGAGUACGAGAGAGGGGGGUGGAAUUCCAGGUGUAGCGGUGAAAUGCGUAGAUAUCUGGAGGAACACCAGUGGCGAAGGCGGCCCCCUGGCUCGAUACUGACACUGAGGUGCGAAAGCGUGGGAGCAAACAGGAUUAGAUACCCUGGUAGUCCACGCCGUAAGCGAUGUCGACUAGCCGUUGGGGAACUUGAUUUCCCAGUGGCGUAGCUAACGCGCUAAGUCGACCGCCUGGGGAGUACGGCCGCAAGGUUAAAACUCAAAUGAAUCGACGGGGACCCGCACAAGCGGUGGAGUAUGUGGUUUAAUUCGACGCAACGCGAAGAACCUUACCUGCUCUUGACAUCCUGCGAACUUUCCAGAGAUGGAUUGGUGCCUUCGGGAGCGCAGAGACAGGUGCUGCAUGGCAGUCGUCAGCUCGUGUCGUGAGAUGUUGGGUUAAGUCCCGCAACGAGCGCAACCCUUGUCCUUAGUUGCCAGCAUUUAGUUGGGGACUCUAGGGAGACUGCCGGUGACAAACCGGAGGAAGGUGGGGACGACGUCAAGUCAUCAUGGCCCUUACGAGCAGGGCUACACACGUACUACAAUGGCCGGUACAAAGGGUUGCGAAAGCGCGAGCUGGAGCCAAUCCCAAAAAGCUGGUCGUAGUCCGGAUUGGAGUCUGCAACUCGACUCCAUGAAGUCGGAAUCGCUAGUAAUCGUAGAUCAGAAUGCUACGGUGAAUACGUUCCCGGGUCUUGUACACACCGCCCGUCACACCAUGGGAGUGGAUUGCACCAGAAGUAGGUAGCUUAACCGCAAGGGGGGCGCUUACCACGGUGUGAUUCAUGACUGGGGUGAAGUCGGAACAAGGUA
rnacentral:rRNA from 1 species